AUUGAACGCUGGCGGCAGGCCUAACACAUGCAAGUCGAGCGAGCGGCGGACGGGUGAGUAAUGUCUGGGAAACUGCCUGAUGGAGGGGGAUAACUACUGGAAACGGUAGCUAAUACCGCAUACCAUCAGAUGUGCCCAGAUGGGAUUAGCUAGUAGGUGGGGUAACGGCUCACCUAGGCGACGAUCCCUAGCUGGUCUGAGAGGAUGACCAGCAACACUGGAGCGGGACAACGAGCCAGACACUAACGGCGGACAGCAGUGGGGAAUAUUGCACAUGGGGGGAAGGCCUGAUGCAGCCAGGCCGCGGGUGUGAAGGAGGCCUUCGGGUUGUAAAGCACUGUCAGCGGGGAGGGGUUACCCGAAGAAGAAGCACCGGCUAAGAACGUGCCAGCAGCCGCGGUAAUAC
rnacentral:rRNA from 1 species